AUUGAACGCUGGCGGCAUGCUUUACACAUGCAAGUCGAACGGUAACAGGCCGCAAGGUGCUGACGAGUGGCGAACGGGUGAGUAAUGCAUCGGAACGUGCCCAGUCGUGGGGGAUAACGCAGCGAAAGCUGUGCUAAUACCGCAUACGAUCUGUGGAUGAAAGCGGGGGACCGUAAGGCCUCGCGCGGUUGGGGCGGCCGACGUCAGAUGAGGUAGUUGGUGGGGUAAAGGCUCACCAAGCCGACGAUCUGUAGCUGGUCUGAGAGGACGACCAGCCACACUGGGACUGAGACACGGCCCAGACUCCUACGGGAGGCAGCAGUGGGGAAUUUUGGACAAUGGGCGCAAGCCUGAUCCAGCAAUGCCGCGCGCAGGAAGAAGGCCUUCGGGUUGUAAACUGCUUUUGUACGGAGCGAAAAGGCUCUCUCUAAUACAGGGGGCUCAUGACGGUACCGUAAGAAUAAGCACCGGCUAACUACGUGCCAGCCGCCGCAGUAA
rnacentral:rRNA from 1 species